AGAGGUCCCGAGCGUUGUUCGGAUUCACUGGGCGUAAAGGGUGCGUAGGUGGCAUAGAAAGUUUGAUAUGAAAGCUCAGGGCUUAACCCUGAAAUGGCAUUGAAUACUGCUGUGCUGGAGGUUUGGAGGGGGGACUGGAAUUCUUGGUGUAGCAGUGAAAUGCGUAGAUAUCAAGAGGAACACCAGUGGCGAAGGCGAGUCCCUGGACAACACCUGACACUGAGGCACGAAAGCUAGGGGAGCAAACAGGAUUAGAUACCCUGGUAGUCCUAGCCCUAAACGGUGCACGUUUGCUGUAAAAGGAAUCGACCCCUUUUGUGGCGAAGCUAACGCGAUAAACGUGCCGCCUGGGGAGUACGGUCGCAAGAUUA
rnacentral:rRNA from 1 species